UCUCCGUAGGUGAACCUGCGGAGGGAUCAUUACAGAGUUCAUGCCCUACCGGGUAGAUCUCCCACCCUAUGUUAUUAUUACUUUGUUGCUUUGGCGGGCCGUUAGGCUCCGGCCCGACUACCGGCCCCGGCUGGUAAGCGCCCGCCAGAGGACCCAAAACCCUGAAUAUUAGUGUCGUCUGAGUACUAUGUAAUAGUUAAAACUUUCAACAACGGAUCUCUUGGUCCUG
rnacentral:misc_RNA from 1 species